GACGAACGCUGGCGGUGUGCUUAACACAUGCAAGUCGAACGGAAAGGCCUCGCUUUUGUGGGAUGCUCGAGUCGCGCACGGGUGUAUCACGUGUGAGUCACCUGCCCUUGACUUUGGUAUCUUCUGAGGAAUCUGGCUCUUAUCGCGGAUAGGCGCCUGUGGCGCAGGGGGGGGGUUGAAAAUUUUGGGCGGUUGGGGGGGGACUCGCGGCUUAUCAGCUUGUGUGUGGGAUUGUGGCUCACCAGGGCUUUGACGGAUCGCGGGCCGGAGGGGGUGACCGGCCACAUUGGGACUGGAAUACGGCCCGGACUCCUACGGGGGGCAGCAGUGGGGAAUAUUGCACAAGGGUCGGAGCCCGAAGGCAGCAACGCCGCGUGCGGGAUGACGGCCUUCGGUUGUUAAACCGCUUUCGUCUGGGAGGAAGCGUGAGUGACGGUAGUGGGUAAAGAAGCACCGGCUAACUACGUG
rnacentral:rRNA from 1 species